rnacentral:rRNA from 1 species
UCGGGAGAAGGUGUGCCGCUGGCGGUUAGUGACUUCGCGUCACGAAGCUGUCGGUGGUCGCAGUGAAAUGGCGGUUGUGACUGUUUACUAAAAACACAGGACUCUGCGAAGUCGUAAGACGACGUAUAGGGCCUGAUGCCUGCCCGGUGCUGGAAGGUUAAGGGGAUAUGUCAGCGCAAGCGAAGCAUUGAACCGAAGCCCCAGUAAACGGCGGCCGUAACAAUAACGGUCCUAAGGUAGCGAAAUUCCUUGUCGGGUAAGUUCCGACCUGCACGAGGGCAUAACAACAUCCGCACUGUCUCGACCAGGGACUCAGCGAAAUUACAUUGGGGGUGAAGAUGCCCUCUACCCGCGGAAAGACGGAAAGACCCCAUGAACCUUUACUGCAACUUGGCAGUGAUUUUCGGGCUGUUCAGCGUAGGAUAGGUGGGAGGCUUUGAAGCCGGGCUUCCGGGUUCGGCAGAGCCAACGUUGAAAUACCACCCUGAAUAAUCUGGAAAUCUAACCUGCGCCCAUGAUCUGGGCGAGGGACACUGCCUGGUGGGCAGUUUGACUGGGGCGGUCGCCUCCUAAAUUGUAACGGAGGCGUGCGACGGUCCCCUCAGGCUGAUUGGAAACCAGCCGUAGAGUGCAAACGCAUAAGGGAGCUUUACUGCGAGACUGACAAGUCGAACAGUUGCGAAAGCAGGUGUUAGUGAUCCGGUGGUACCACAUGGAAGGGCCAUCGCUCAUCGGAUAAAAGGUACUCUGUGGAUAACAGGCUGAUCGCGCCUGAGAGUUCACAUCGGCGGCGCGGUUUGGCACCUCGAUGUCGGCUCAUCGCAUCCUGGGGCUGGAGCAGGUCCCAAGGGUUUGGCUGUUCGCCAAUUAAAGCGGUACGCGAGCUGGGUUUAAAACGUCGUGAGACAGUUUGGUCCCUAUCUUCCGUGGGCGCAGGACACUUGAGAGGAGCUAUCCAUAGUACGAGAGGACCUGGAUGGACGAACCUCUGGUGCUCCGGUUGUCACGCCAGUGGCAUAGCCGGGUAGCCAUGUUCGGAACAGAUAACCGCUGAAGGCAUAUAAGCGGGAAGCUGGCCUCAAGACUAGGUGUCCCUGACGCAAGUCACUAAAGGCCCCUCGAAGACUACGAGGUUGAUAGGCUCGGUGUGGAAGCGCUGCGAGGCGUGGAGCUAACGAGUACUAAUAGGCCGUGCGACUUGACCUC